CCCAUCUCUUUCAGUAGUUAGAAGACAUAUUUUCAGAUGUAUUAUAAAAAUUAGUUUUUGUCUGUAGUAGAACUAGCUGUAUUUCUUACGUGUUGCAGUGAGGAAGAACACACAUCAUGGGGAGCUGUGGCGGGGUCUCAGUAAGAAGGUGUUAGAGCAGACUUGGUAUACAAUUUGGGCUUGUGUUAGGGGAUUGGGGCCGGGGGAGUUCAUAGACUUAGCCCUCUGCUCUGGAUGAGAUUCCAUCAGGAAGGUGUGGGCAGGUUAAUUCUGAGUGAGAGCCUUAAUCAAUCUUAUGUAGGAAGAAGGAGACCAGGGUGAGACAAAAGCUGUAAUUGAUGAAGGGGCAGCAAUCCCUCAUUGCUGAGGGGGGAUGUUUGGUCACUGCUGUGGUUUGGACAAUGUUCAUGUUUUUCUCUAUGCUCACAUAUGAUGUGGGGUGGUAUUGUUUUUCCCAUGAUCCAUCAUAGUCACAAAGUGCCAUUGUCUGUGUUCUGUGAAAUUGCUUAUGUUCAACAGGAUGACACAGAGACCCGGUGUCAGUUUCCAUAUGUUGGGACAGCUUUUCUCUUUCUCAGUGCAAUCCCUUGCCCUGUGGCUGCUGGUUAGGUUUGGUUUAAGGGGAUCUCUAGCAGACAAUCAUAGGAGGAAGAGAAAAGGAAGAAGUCUGGGUGCUUAUUCACUGGCUUCCUUACUGCAA
rnacentral:lncRNA from 1 species